GCAUUGGUGGUAUAGUGGCAGCAUGGCUUGCUUUCCAAGCAGUUGACCUGGAUUCAAUUCCCGACCAAUGCA
rnacentral:tRNA from 1 species